GACAGAGGUGCCGAGCGUUAGGCGGAAUCACUGGGCUUAAAGCGUGUGUAGGCGGGCGGGCAAGUACCUUGUGAAAUCCCACGGCUCAACCGUGGAACGGCUGGGUAUACUGCCUGUCUUGAGCCAACUAGGGGCGAGCGGAACAGACGGUGGAGCGGUGAAAUGCGUAGAUAUCGUCUGGAACGCCGAAGGUGAAAACAGCUCGCUGGGGCUGCGCUGACGCUGAGACACGAAAGCCAGGGGAGCGAACGGG
rnacentral:rRNA from 1 species